AUUCGAUUAGAGUUUGAUCAUGGCUCAGAUUGAACGCUGGCGGCAGGCUUAACACAUGCAAGUCGAGCGGUAGCACAGGGGAGCUUGCUCCCUGGGUGACGAGCGGCGGACGGGUGAGUAAUGUCUGGGAAACUGCCUGAUGGAGGGGGAUAACUACUGGAAACGGUAGCUAAUACCGCAUAACGUCGCAAGACCAAAGAGGGGGACCUUCGGGCCUCUUGCCAUCAGAUGUGCCCAGAUGGGAUUAGCUAGUAGGUGGGGUAAUGGCUCACCUAGGCGACGAUCCCUAGCUGGUCUGAGAGGAUGACCAGCCACACUGGAACUGAGACACGGUCCAGACUCCUACGGGAGGCAGCAGUGGGGAAUAUUGCACAAUGAGCGCAAGCCUGAUGCAGCCAUGCCGCGUGUGUGAAGAAGGCCUUCGGGUUGUAAAGCACUUUCAGCGAGGAGGAAGGUGGUGAGCUUAAUACGCUCAUCAAUUGACGUUACUCGCAGAAGAAGCACCGGCUAACUCCGUGCCAGCAGCCGCGGUAAUACGGAGGGUGCAAGCGUUAAUCGGAAUUACUGGGCGUAAAGCGCACGCAGGCGGUUUGUUAAGUCAGAUGUGAAAUCCCCGGGCUCAACCUGGGAACUGCAUUUGAAACUGGCAAGCUAGAGUCUCGUAGAGGGGGGUAGAAUUCCAGGUGUAGCGGUGAAAUGCGUAGAGAUCUGGAGGAAUACCGGUGGCGAAGGCGGCCCCCUGGACGAAGACUGACGCUCAGGUGCGAAAGCGUGGGGAGCAAACAGGAUUAGAUACCCUGGUAGUCCACGCUGUAAACGAUGUCGAUUUGGAGGUUGUGCCCUUGAGGCGUGGCUUCCGGAGCUAACGCGUUAAAUCGACCGCCUGGGGAGUACGGCCGCAAGGUUAAAACUCAAAUGAAUUGACGGGGGCCCGCACAAGCGGUGGAGCAUGUGGUUUAAUUCGAUGCAACGCGAAGAACCUUACCUACUCUUGACAUCCAGAGAACUUUCCAGAGAUGGAUUGGUGCCUUCGGGAACUCUGAGACAGGUGCUGCAUGGCUGUCGUCAGCUCGUGUUGUGAAAUGUUGGGUUAAGUCCCGCAACGAGCGCAACCCUUAUCCUUUGUUGCCAGCGGUUCGGCCGGGAACUCAAAGGAGACUGCCAGUGAUAAACUGGAGGAAGGUGGGGAUGACGUCAAGUCAUUAUGGCCCUUACGAGUAGGGCUACACACGUGCUACAAUGGCGUAUACAAAGAGAAGCGACCUCGCGAGAGCAAGCGGACCUCAUAAAGUACGUCGUAGUCCGGAUUGGAGUCUGCAACUCGACUCCAUGAAGUCGGAAUCGCUAGUAAUCGUAGACCAGAAUGC
rnacentral:rRNA from 1 species